ACACUCACUUAUAUAAUUUUUAUAGUUAAUAGAUCUUCCCCUUACUAAGUGAAAGGAGUAUUUGUUUCUCCAUGGGGUGGGAACUCUUUGUACCAUACUGGUACUUUAAUGGAUGGUCUAAUUGAUAUCAACCCAAUUAAUUUACCAGGUCUACCACGUGUUCUAAAUUGGUUAGACAUUAUACCCAUUUGAAUUGCCUUCACUCCUGAGUCUCUGAGUGUCAGGUUCAAGCUGCUGACCGACGAGGUUCCUUAUGCUUGUGAACCAGUUAGAUUCUAUACACAUAUGAAUCUUCCCCAUAUUCGAAUAUCUGAAUGUCAGACUCAAGCUGAUGAUAUAUGAGGUAUGGUCCUCGCUGUAUCAAUCAAGUCCCAUUGAAAUAUUGAAACGUUGUUCAUACAUCUUUGAAUGACCUUUUAUGUGCUCACAAUAUGUUCUGAAAUGAAGAGAUUUUACCCCUGAUGAAGUCUUGGAACAAGACGAAAUGCGUUGGAUUAUUUAUCUAUCUAUUAUCUGAUGUUACCUCCGAAUCUACAAUAAGGAGGAGGAAAUCGUAGUGAUAUAUCUACGCUUUUUCCUCAUCACUACAAACUGAUUGUUCAAAUUGUGCGACAAAUGUAAAUGUAUCAACUCUGUAUACUUAUGAACAUUUGUGUCGG